rnacentral:rRNA from 1 species
UACGAAGGGGGCUAGCGUUGUUCGGAAUUACUGGGCGUAAAGCGCGCGCAGGCGGCUAUGCAAGUCAGUGGUGAAAGCCCGGAGCUCAACUCCGGAACUGCCAUUGAAACUGUUUAGCUUGAGUAUGAGAGAGGUGAGUGGAAUUCCCAGUGUAGAGGUGAAAUUCGUAGAUAUUGGGAAGAACACCGGUGGCGAAGGCGGCUCACUGGCUCAUUACUGACGCUCAGGCGCGACAGCGUGGGGAUCAAACAGG